rnacentral:tRNA from 1 species
UCCUCGAUGGUCUAACGGUCAUGAUUUCCGCUUGUCACUCUUAACGAGAACAAGCGCGGGAGACCUGGGUUCGACUCCCAGUCGGGGAG